UUGAAGGCAAUGAUCCUCAAUUCUGGCCCAGCAUCAAAGGUGGAAGAGCGAGUGUUACUGUUAAUGUUGCAGGAGACACUGAGGCGCCUGUAUGGCUCAGUCAGUUGAGUGCUUAACUCAUGAUUUUACCUCAGGUCAUGAUCCCAGGGUCGUGGGAUUGAGCUCUGCAUCAGGCUCUGCACUGAGCAUGGAGCCUGCUUGGUAUUCUCUUUCUCUCUCUCUCUCUCUCUCUCUCUCUCUCUCUCUCUCCCUCUCUCCCUCUCUCCCUCUCCCUCUCCCUCUAACCCUUUUCCUGCUCUUGUGUUCUCUCUCUUUGUCUCUGUCUCCCUCUUUCUUAAAAAAAUAGUUGCAAGAAACAACCUGGUCCUCAGUGUAGCCUAGGAUGCCCUUGAGUAUGGUCCUCUGAUGCCUGCUUCACCACCUUCUUGAUAUUAUCAUAUUUG
rnacentral:lncRNA from 1 species